CCUACGGAGGGCAGCAGUGGGGAAUAUUGGACAAUGGGGGCAACCCUGAUCCAGCCAUGCCGCGUGUGUGAAGAAGGCCCUCGGGUUGUAAAGCACUUUCAGUGAGGAAGAACGCCUGGUGGUUAAUACCCAUCAGGAAAGACAUCACUCACAGAAGAAGCACCGGCUAACUCCGUGCCAGCAGCCGCGGUAAUACGGAGGGUGCGAGCGUUAAUCGGAAUUACUGGGCGUAAAGCGCGCGUAGGUGGCUUGAUAAGCCGGUUGUGAAAGCCCCGGGCUCAACCUGGGAACGGCAUCCGGAACUGUCAAGCUAGAGUGCAGGAGAGGAAGGUAGAAUUCCCGGUGUAGCGGUGAAAUGCGUAGAGAUCGGGAGGAAUACCAGUGGCGAAGGCGGCCUUCUGGACUGACACUGACACUGAGGUGCGAAAGCGUGGGUAGCAAACAGGAUUAGAUACCCGAGUAGUC
rnacentral:rRNA from 1 species